GAUGAAGAACGUAGUGAAAUGCGAUAAGUAAUGUGAAUUGCAGAAUUCAGUGAAUCAUCGAAUCUUUGAACGCACAUUGCGCCCGCCAGUAUUCUGGCGGGCAUGCCUGUUCGAGCGUCAUUACAACCCUCAGGCCCCCGGGCCUGGCGUUGGGGAUCGGCGGAAGCCCCCUGCGGGCACAACGCCGUCCCCCAAAUACAGUGGCGGUCCCGCCGCAGCUUCCAUUGCGUAGUAGCUAACACCUCGCAACUGGAGAGCGGCGCGGCCACGCCGUAAAACAUCCAACUUCUGAAUGUUGACCUCGAAUCAGGUAGGAAUACCCGCUGAACUUAAGCAUAUCAAUAAGCGGAGGA
rnacentral:misc_RNA from 1 species